rnacentral:rRNA from 1 species
AGAGUGAACGCUGGCGGUAGGCCUAACACAUGCAAGUCGAACGGCAGCACGGUAAGAGCUUGCUCUUAUGGGUGGCGAGUGGCGGACGGGUGAGGAAUACAUCGGAAUCUACCUUUUGGUGGGGGAUAACGUAGGGAAACUUACGCUAAUACCGCAUACGCCCUUCGGGGGAAAGCCGGGGACCAGCAAUGGCCUGGCGCUGAUAGAUGAGCCGAUGUCGGAUUAGCUAGUUGGUGAGGUAAUGGCUCACCAAGGCGACGAUCCGUAGCUGGUCUGAGAGGAUGAUCAGCCACACUGGAACUGAGACACGGUCCAGACCUCCUACGGGAGGCAGCAGGUGGGGAAUAGUUGGACAAGUGGGCGCAAGCCUGAUCCAGCC